UCUUCUCCCUGUCCCUUUUGCUGCUCGGCUUAGGCACCCGGGGGGCUCAGAUGAGGCGGCUUUUGAAUGAGCCUUUUUCCCCUGCAAGCUGUGUGGGUUCUGCUCACGUCGGCACUGCUGUGCUCUGUCUGCCCGAGUUCGGCAGCAGGAGCUCAGGGGGAAACUGAAAGCAGGGCAGCAGCAGAAAACACUCCAGAUAGACCAAAUGGGCACAGCAGGCUUUUGCAGAACCUUCCGCAGGGAAACCCUCGGGAAAGCACAGAGUUCACUAUGAGGUGAAGAGCCCUGAUGAAUGCAGGCAGAGCCCCGUGAAACAAGGGCUGAGGGGGCUCACAGAGCGUGCCACAGCACCAGUGCCCCUCACACCCCACAGCUCUGCUUCACUGAGGGCACUGAUCACCAGGCAUAGCUUGGUUAAACUAUUUAAUGAAUUAAUUGCAGGUGAUCUGAGUGUAGCUGUAAUGGCUGAGUUUGUAGCUACCAACUCCUCGUCUGAGGCAAGGGGAAUGCGGGGAGGACCUGGUGGACAUCGCGGUAAGGCAAGCCAGUCGCUCAGACCCUGCCAGGCAAGCAGACUCGCUGGCUAGGAAGUUGCUAGAAGCUGUGUAUGAGAGGCAAUCAGAAGAGAUUGGGGUGAGAGGGAAGAUGGAGGAGCAAGGCAGAGCUACUGGGAGCUGCACACGAGUAGUUUGUGUCGGGGAAAGGAGCUCUGGCAGCUGGGGAGGGUCUGCCCUGCUGAUAUUUUACUCUCUCGCCCCUCCCUCCGUGCCCUUCAGGAAUGGCUGUGUCUGUGCCCUGCCUUCCCGCACCGAGCCCCGACUCUGUGCCUCCCUGCCCGGGCUCAGGGUGUCCCGGAGGGACCCGGGGCCGGAUGGAGCCGGUGCAGGCCUGAGGGCGCGGAGGCGGCCAUCGCAGCAGCUGCGCCGGGGACAUGAGAAGCGAGGGAGCCUGAGCCGCGGGAAGCAUACUCUGGGACGUCAGAGAGGAAGGGAAACUUUCUCAAGGAAGAAGUUGCUUCAGUUUCUACCCUGUAUAACCUCAUGUGAAUGGCUAAGCAAGGGGUUAUCAGCUGGUCUGGCUUCCCCUUCAGCAUCCCCCCCCAGCUGCUGAUACCAGGGGGAAGUGGGAGAGCAACAGGGACAGCUUUACCAAAACACUCCUGACUUCCCUUCCUUUUCAACAUGUCCCUCCCUGUCUCCGCCUGGGAAACAAAAAGGUGUGAAAAAAACCCCAUGCAAAUACCUCACUAGGAGUUGUGUAAACCUUGUGGGAGGGAGACAGGGACACUCCAUGCUUUCAUACACAUAUUUAACAACCUCUUUUCCUGCCUUCUCAUAUAUUCUUCAAGCCUCGCCUGCUUUUAGUGCAGAGGAGAAAAACAGAAACACGUAUUUCCUAAAAAGUAUGCAAGCUUCAGGCAAGGUCCUGUUCUGAGGUGUUUGGAUUACUGCCUCACCUUAAUGUGGGAGAGAGGACUUGCAGCUGACAGCUGUGCCUCUUCAGGUACUUGAAUCUGCUGUUUACACAAUUUGUAUGAAUGAGAAAGGGAAAUUCAGCACUGUCUCUUUCAGUUUUGCUGCUGCCUCAGAGACAUUACAAGCCAUGACCGAUGAGGCAGCAUAUACCAGCUUUUUUGCUGCAGAUGCUAAAUUGAAAAAAAAAUUAAAAAAAAAAAAUCAUUUUUUUUGUUAUGCCAGAUCACACUGCCAACCUUUUGUUGAGCACAAGCUGUAUUGAAAGGCAAGGUGAGUCUGCUGAGGUCUCAUCAAAGACUGUGCCAUUGGGUAGAUCAUCUGUUGAAUAGAAUUUUUUUAUUGUGAAGCAUAGGACAGCUGCUGACUGGGACGAAGAGCAGCAGGAAGCAGAAAUGCAGCAGUGGUCAGCUUGGGGAGGACCAUACUGUUCAUUCUUGUGAGCUAUUGCAUAAAUUUGAGCCUGCACCACUUCUCUUAUGGGAUGAUGAAAAGAGAUUUGAUAAAAAUCUCAUGUCAUGUGAGGAAAACUCUUGAAUCCCUGGAAACUUAGGUAUGUAAUAAUGAAUUAAAGACUGAUAUCCAAAAGAGAAUAAAAUAAAACCACAGAAAUCAUAGAAACAGAACUUCUGCAGAGUAAACACUUGAAGAUAUAAAAGGGAUUAACAAAUGGAUUUUGAAAAUAGUUUAAAAAAUUACGAAGAGAUGGAGAAGAUCAAUGGUUGUACAAAAGUUGGUGUUUUGAGAGCCUUUUUAGAAGAGAAAUAAGUGAGAUCCUGGAAACAUGAUUUCUGAAAGUUUUUCUUCUCCAAAGACAUAAGAAAGCAAGUCUCCCUAUGACUCACCUUCCAAAUCAAAAUGCAGAUGCCCUCAGGGGUUUAGAGAAGAAUUGUGGUAUUGUAGAGGUUUCUAAGCUUCACUAAAACGUAGUUAAACAAGUGACUAAUGGGAAGAAAAGCUGUUAGAGAUGUGUCAGUAUAAGUGAAAGGAACACCCAGCUAUAGCUGCAAAUACAAGAUGCUCAAGAUCCUCUGAUCCCCAUUUCAUUUUAUGAAAAUGUAAAUUCCCAAAAAUUAUAAAAUCAUUUUGCCUAUAAUUGUUGAUUGAAUUUGGCAAAUUUCUUGCAUCUUCCAUUUUUAAAUGUGUAAUAAAUGCUUUUCAAUAUCUUCAAGUGAGGCUAUUGCAAGUUAGAGAGACCACUGUUCACAAUUUCAGUACUGGAACAUAGAUGUGACUUUGUUUUUGUACAUUUCUGUGUAAUUUUUCAUGUCUUAGUUUUCUGUGUACUUCACCUUUUACAUAGAGGAAUAUGGCUGAAGGCAGGCGCGCCUUUUGUUAAUUUCAUAUUUUUCUUGUAAACAGUCCUGAAUUCUGCUGAAGAACUGCUUUUAUUCUGUUUUAGGUUUUUUUUUUUUUUCCUUAACUAUGAUAAAACACAGUAUGAAUGGUUUGAAAAAAGGAAUAAAUUAAAAAGAUGACUCCCUGUUGAAAUGAACUCACAAAUCCCAGCAGAUUCUUAAUCCUGAAUGUUGAUUUACUGAUAAACACUAAAACUGCUCCUGAAACAAAAAAUUGAAAAAUGCACCUUUAAAUAUCCUUGUGUUAUCUACAUUAUUCUAUCUGAAGAUGUUAACAAUGUCACAUGAUAUGUUCUGUAUCAGUUUCAUAUUUACAUUUGUUUAUGUGGAUGAUUUAUCUUUGCCUAAUUUACAUACCUGACACAUUUUCCUGUAUUCCUGUAUAUCCUGUAUUAUAUGUGCUUCCCCCCCACCCCCCAAUAUGAAAAACUUUAACAAAUAAAGAUAAUAUGAAAUGUUUUGCAUUCUA